CCUACGGGGGGCAGCAGUGGGGAAUAUUGGACAAUGGGGGGAACCCUGAUCCAGCCAUGCCGCGUGUGUGAAGAAGGCCCUCGGGUUGUAAAGCACUUUCAGUGAGGAAGAACGCCUGGUGGUUAAUACCCAUCAGGAAAGACAUCACUCACAGAAGAAGCACCGGCUAACUCCGUGCCAGCAGCCGCGGUAAUACGGAGGGUGCGAGCGUUAAUCGGAAUUACUGGGCGUAAAGCGCGCGUAGGUGGCUUGAUAAGCCGGUUGUGAAAGCCCCGGGCUCAACCUGGGAACGGCAUCCGGAACGGGCGAGAAGGAGUGCAGAGGAGGCAGGUAGCACGCCGGGUGGACCGGGGAUUGGGGUAGAGACCGGGCGGGGGGGGGGGGGCGACGGGGGGGAGAUGGGCAGACGAGGGCCCUGGGGUGCGAAUGCGUGUGUAGGAGUCCGGGUGCGGUACCCCGGUAGGC
rnacentral:rRNA from 1 species